rnacentral:rRNA from 1 species
CUCAGGAUGAACGCUAGCGACAGGCUUAACACAUGCAAGUCGAGGGGCAGCGGGGUUGUAGCAAUACAACUGCCAGCGACCGGCGCACGGGUGAGUAACACGUAUGUAACCUGCCCUCUGCAGGGGGAUAAGCGGAAGAAAUUCCGUCUAAUACCGCAUAAUACAAUUUGGAGACAUCUCCGGGUUGUCAAAGGAGUGAUCCGGCAGAGGAUGGACAUGCGGCGCAUUAGCUAGUCGGCGGGGUAACGGCCCACCGAGGCUACGAUGCGUAGGGGUUCUGAGAGGAAGGUCCCCCACACUGGUACUGAGACACGGACCAGACUCCUACGGGAGGCAGCAGUGAGGAAUAUUGGUCAAUGGGCGGAAGCCUGAACCAGCCAAGUCGCGUGAGGGAAGACGGUCCUAUGGAUUGUAAACCUCUUUUGCAGGGGAGCAAGGCGCGGUACGUGUACCGCGAAGGAGAGUACCCUGAGAAAAAGCAUCGGCUAACUCCGUGCCAGCAGCCGCGGUAAUACGGAGGAUGCGAGCGUUAUCCGGAUUUAUUGGGUUUAAAGGGUGCGCAGGCGGACUGUUAAGUCAGCGGUAAAAUGUCGGUGCUCAACACCGGCCGGCCGUUGAAACUGGCAGCCUUGAGUGAGCGAGAAGUAUGCGGAAUGCGUGGUGUAGCGGUGAGAUGCAUAGAUAUCACGCAGAACUCCGAUUGCGAAGGCAGCAUACCGGCGCUCAACUGACGCUCAGGCACGAAAGCGUGGGUAUCGAACAGGCUUAGAUACCCUGGUAGUCCACGCAGUAAACGAUGAAUGCUCACUGUCCGGGCCGUUUAAGGCCUGGGUGGUCAAGCGAAAGCGUUAAGCAUUCCACCUGGGGAGUACGCCGGCAACGGUGAAACUCAAAGGAAUUGACGGGGGCCCGCACAAGCGGAGGAACAUGUGGUUUAAUUCGAUGAUACGCGAGGAACCUUACCCGGGCUCAAACGGAAGGGGACAGUAUGAGAAAUCAUACAUUCCUUCGGGACCGCUUCCGAGGUGCUGCAUGGUUGUCGUCAGCUCGUGCCGUGAGGUGUCGGCUUAAGUGCCAUAACGAGCGCAACCCCUAUCGACAGUUGCUAGCAGGUAAAGCUGAGGACUCUGUCGAGACUGCCGGCGCAAGCUGUGAGGAAGGCGGGGAUGACGUCAAAUCAGCACGGCCCUUACGUCCGGGGCGACACACGUGUUACAAUGGCAGGUACAGCGGGAGGCCACCCGGCGACGGGGCGCAGAACCCGAAAACCUGUCUCAGUUCGGAUUGGAGUCUGCAACCCGACUCCAUGAAGCUGGAUUCGCUAGUAAUCGCGCAUCAGCCACGGCGCGGU